GUCUUUUCAACAGCAUUUACACUGAAAUUGGAAUGAUUCUGAGAAGAUUAACAUGGGCCCCUGUGCAGAGAAGUCAAAAAUUUGUGUGAAGUGUUUCACAGCUUU